GGGUCAGUCGCAUAAAGGUUAUUACGGAAGGCUGUUAACCUUCUUAUCGUGGUUCGAGUCCACGCUGUCCCGCCA
rnacentral:tRNA from 2 species